AGCCCGGAGCAGAAGGACGCGUCCGCGGGGCGGGCACAGCACCGGCACGGGGGCAGAGAGCGAGCCCGAAGUCCUGCUCUUACGAACUUCGUGAGCGGUCUCCCUGGAGAUUCCCAGACGCGCCAAACUGGGACGGUGUUUAGUAACCACCUCGCUCUGCAGCGCGCUCUAGGCUCUGCCUUGGGCUUGGGUGCAGCCUUUCCAGCCUCUUCGCGCUGGACGGGGGAGCCCCGGAGGCGGAAGUGCAGGGCCCUGGCUAACCUGGCGCCUCCUCUACGCCAGCUCUGACCCAGACCCUCCUCCCUGACCUGGCUCCUCACCCUCAUCUCUCCCGGGGCUCCAGGCCGCCCGAAGCCCUUUGGCAUGAAGGCCUGCAUCCUCGUGGCCUCGGAACAGCCUGGCCUGUCUGCCCUGCCCCUGGCGGCUUUGCUGGGUUCUGUGGGCUGGCUUCACUGUUUAAACUUGGCGUCUGUCGCUGUCCCUCUAGGUCUGCCCCGGCCCAGGUUCUCAUCCAGGUACCAGCCCCUAGAGGCCUGAGCUCCGGAGUCCAGGCCCCCUGCGUGUCGGCCGGGGCAGGGACUCUCAGCACGGGAUGUCCCCAGACUCCAGAGGGUCGGGUCACAGGAACAGUGGGAGGCAGCUGCACACUGCUUUCACAUCCUGCCCCUCCCAAGGGGCCCUGGACACCCGGCUGGACUGCAGGGGCACCGAGAGCAGGAGCAGCUGCCCGACCCAGAGCCCCAGGAACUGAGUCCCCUGAAUAAGGACACAGGUGAGAAGCCAAGCCCACACCUGUCCCCCGACUCAUGCAGUUUCUAUCUUAUAAUCAACAAAGAGCAUGGAGCUACUUAAAGAGCCCUCGAGGUAUUCGGUAGGUUACAUUAAUAGGAGUAUCUUCUCCAAAACCUCAGAGGUGAUCACCCUGACCCGUGUUUAGUUGUUCUGAGCUGCUGAUACCAUACCUAGGGCGCUAUGUCUAUUUCUGGAAAGUAUUUCAAAGGGGUUCAGAAAAACUGGAGGGAAUACAGUAGAGCAAAAUCAGGCUAGUAAAAAUCUGGAAAAUAUGUCCUGCAAGGAGUGGGUGCAGGAACAGAGAACAAUGUGCCUGGAAAGGAGAUGCCGUAAGCCCACUCUCUCCACGUGUCCACAGCACCGGUGGAGAAGAAAGGUACUGCCCAAGAGCGGUACCAGGACCAGCAGGCCAAAUUCAGCCCUGUCUCAAAGGACUGCUUGCGGCUGCUGAUUCCAAACCUUCUCUCUGCGGUGCUGAAUUUCGUCCCGGAAGCCGGCUGUAAUAGUGCAGAUCAAGUUCAAGCCCCAGAUAAGCACUGGACCCAGAUCAGGUUUCUCCAUCUGUAUAUAAAAUUCCCUGAGCAACGUCACAGGCAGAUUCUGAGCCCUGCCUCUGGUGGGCUCCCUAACAACCUCUGGCAGUGGAGCUGAAGGAUCUGCAUUCUACAGGAUUCUUUACAAUAGGCUUGCGGGAUCCCUUGGGCCCGGCUCUGCCACGCCCACUGCUGACCUCACCCCGUCUACCCACUCUCCCGAGCCCAGUGCCCCGGAGCCUGCUCCUCGCUCAGUCCACAGGGGUCUGACCGAGAUGCAGGCUCGGCGUUUCCAGCUGCACCUGCGCCGGGCCCUGCUUGGACUUAGUAACAUAAAACUCACAGAGCCAGCACGGCCUCCCGGGCUGAGCAUGGCUGAGCCUGCAGAGAAAGCGUUAAUGAGCACGAAGAACCUGAAUCCAAUGCCUGGCCCUGUGUGGUGCUGCCUUUCUUUCUGUUGGGAGCGGGCAGCGUAAGGUGGGUGUCAGGAGCAUUAGGUGUGUUUUUUUGUUUUUGUUUUUUGUUUUUUUGUGGUGCCAGGGAGGAACUCAGGACCUUGCACUUUCGAGGCAGGUGGCGGCACCACUGAGCUAAAUUCCCGGCCCCUUAGGAAGAGUACUAGUUUGUUUUGUUUGUUUGUUUGUUUUCAGUACCAGGGAUCAAACUCGGGACCUUGCGCUUGUGAGGCAUGGGCUAAAUCCCCAGCCCGCGUUAGAUGUGUUAAGAGGCGUUGGGCAGGUGGCAGGCGGACAGUGUGGAAGGUCCUGUCGCCACUGCCCUGAUGGUGAACUGUGCAACCCUGCGCAGGUGGCAGAAGGUGUUUUGGGGGUGACCAGAGAGUACCCACCCUGGAUGUGCAAGGACGUCUGUGGGCACUUGGAGCCAUGCCAGUCCUGGUACACUGCCAGGACUGUCCCUGCUUUUGCUUUUCUACAGCCGAGGGCACAUAGCACCUGUUCAGGAGUUUCCCUGCGCAGAGGGAGGACUCCCAGGGAAGCCUCCUCCCUACCCCGCUGGGGAGGAGCGGUGUGAAGGUGAGGGGGCCCUGGCCUGGCAGGUGAGCGCAGGACGAGGUGGCCCCUGCCACACAUCCUGAGCAGGGGAAACUGAGGACCCGGCCAGCUGCGAGCCACAUCCUGGCCAAAGGAGUUGCAGCUCCAGCUGACAUAAUGGACGUGAAUUCCUUAAGGAAACAGUGAGAGAUCCACGUUUUGGAGGAAAACCUUCCCAGUUAGGAGUAGGUGUGCUGGGAGCGAAUCGAUCCCCUCUGGCCCGACUGGCCGGGAGCUUCCGGUGCUGGAGGAAGGAGGGCUCUGUGGCCAGUGAGAUCUGGGGAGCCGUCCGGAGGUGUGCGGGGUUCGCCUCCUUCACUGUGGCUUCCCACGCCCCUGCCCUCCCUGCGCUGUGCUGCUUGAGUGUUUUGCUCUCUUCCUGCAGCCACAACUGUCCAGCUGUGCACAGCUGAGGAGGCCGAGUGGCACCAGAAGGACAUCGCCCGGCUCCUGCAGCGACAAAAAGAGGAGGAGAGGAAGUGGGCCCAGCAGGUGGGCCCGGCUUUUCCCCAGGAUCGGGGAACUUGGGGUUUGUGUCACAAGUGUCUCUUGGCCUU
rnacentral:lncRNA from 1 species